CUCUCUCUCUCUCUCUCUCAAACUCCAUUCUACCUGCAACUACAGCUUCCAUUUCCUCACCGCACCACUCUCCCCAACCUUUAGUUAUGACCACCACAAACUAUAGCCAUUACCUCCAGUUCCGACCACCACAAAGCACCAUCCCUACUUGCGGUUCCGACCACCUCUAGAUAAAUCUCCAAGGCUGGAGCUUAAAUGCUGUAAAACAUUGAAAGCGAAUAUCAAGUAGCUUAUGCUGGGUUAAUGAUGGAAGAUGUGAUUUGCAAAUUGUCUCACUAUCUAUAUUUAUGAAUGUUGAGAAAAGAAGACAUUUGAGGUCUUCUACUUAGGCAAUUGUAUGCUC